GAAGUGAUGCUGGUUGCUUAAAGAGCCUACUGGUUAUGAACUCCAAACCUUGCAGAGCAGAGAGAAGAACCUUGUGUUAAUGGACCAGACCUAUCACCUCCUAAGGCAUGAGAAGUAAAUGAAAAUAUAGCUAAUGAGUUCGUUAUUGUGUCUGUGAGCAGGUCAAUGUGAAAAACAGCAAGGAUGGUAGAAUAUGCUGCAGUGACAAGUCAUGAACACUGCCCACACGUGAUGUUUCCGAAUUUGACUGAGUCCAGGGAAUGCAUUCAUGAGUCUGAUUCAUUUUCAGAAAAAGUCUGCAGACGUUUUAAGUUUUCAGCUUACAGAGGAGGAACCAAAUCUGGCAGUUGAGGUAAUGCAAUGACCGUCUCCAGAAACACCGUCUGCCAACAACAUCUGGUGGAUUACCAUCCUUAUUCCCUGUCUUUCUAAUAUGACUCCUUCACAGUUCGAGUAGCAAUGACUCUUAACAGCUUGACCCAUCUGAAGGUACAGCAGAAAAUGGUGCACCAGAGAAUAUAUCGCCUCUUGCACUUC